rnacentral:rRNA from 1 species
AUUGAACGCUGGCGGCAUGCCUUACACAUGCAAGUCGAACGGCAGCACGGACUUCGGUCUGGUGGCGAGUGGCGAACGGGUGAGUAACAUAUCGGAACAUACCCUAGAGUGGGGGAUAACGUAGCGAAAGUUACGCUAAUACCGCAUACGAUCUAAGGAUGAAAGUGGGGGAUCUUCGGACCUCAUGCUCAUGGAGUGGCCGAUAUCUGAUUAGCUAGUUGGUGAGGUAAGGGUUCACCAAGGCGACGAUCAGUAGCUGGUUUGAGAGAACGACCAGCCACACUGGAACUGAGACACGGUCCAGACUCCUACGGGAGGCAGCAGUGGGGAA